UACAGAGGGUGCAAGCGUUGUUCGGAAUUAUUGGGCGUAAAGCGCGUGUAGGCGGCUUUGCAAGUCGGGUGUGAAAGCCCUCAGCUUAACUGAGGAAGUGCGCCCGAAACUGCAGAGCUUGAGUACCGGAGAGGAUGGUGGAAUUCCCGAAGUAGAGGUGAAAUUCGUAGAUAUCGGGAGGAACACCGGUGGCGAAGGCGACCAUCUGGACGGAUACUGACGCUGAGACGCGAAAGCGUGGGUAGCAAACAGG
rnacentral:rRNA from 1 species